UAGAAGUGAAGAUGGAUUUAUCCAUACUGGUAAUUUCUAUGAAUACUGAAUGAGAGUUUAAGCGUAAUGAUAAGUACGUCAGACAUAGAGCCACUCAAUUUAAAAAUGAGUGGUAUUUUUUUAA
rfam:Sneathia amnii strain SN35, complete genome.